rnacentral:lncRNA from 1 species
AGACAAGAGAGAGAGGGUGCUCCCCAUCCUAUAAGCCCCAAGACCUCCCCACUCCUGUCUGAUGUGGGAUGUGCACCACUGUACACUCUCCCACCCGAGCUCGUGACGCCCUCGUCGCGGCCGGCCCCCUGCCUACCCCGCAGGGCGCUUGGAUGGAACGAACAAGGAGCGGUUUGGCUCUAAUACCACUCAGAGGUUAGGGAGUAGAAUUCUCCCAAAAGUCUAGACAAGAGAGAGAGGGUGCUCCCCUUCCUAUAAGCCCCAAGACCUCCCCACUCCUGUCCGAUGUGGGAUGUGC